GCCAGCAGCCAUAUCACCCUGUAACUCUCAACUGGCAGCCCACUGAAGCUCAGCAGGUGUGAGCCUGGUCAGUACCUGGAUGGGAGACCUCCUGGGAAAAACUAAGGUUGCUUAGU
rfam:Lepisosteus oculatus linkage group LG3, whole genome shotgun sequence.